rnacentral:rRNA from 1 species
CCUACGGGUGGCUGCAGUGGGGAAUAUUGGACAAUGGGGGCAACCCUGAUCCAGCCAUGCCGCGUGUGUGAAGAAGGCCCUCGGGUUGUAAAGCACUUUCAGUGAGGAAGAACGCCUGGUGGUUAAUACCCAUCAGGAAAGACAUCACUCACAGAAGAAGCACCGGCUAACUCCGUGCCAGCAGCCGCGGUAAUACGGAGGGUGCGAGCGUUAAUCGGAAUUACUGGGCGUAAAGCGCGCGUAGGUGGCUUGAUAAGCCGGUUGUGAAAGCCCCGGGCUCAACCUGGGAACGGCAUCCGGAACUGUCAAGCUAGAGUGCAGGAGAGGAAGGUAGAAUUCCCGGUGUAGCGGUGAAAUGCGUAGAGAUCGGGAGGAAUACCAGUGGCGAAAGCGGCCUUCUGGACUGACACUGACACUGAGGUGCGAAAGCGUGGGUAGCAAACAGGAUUAGAUACCCCUGUAGUC